GCGGGGCUGCCGGAGUGGCCAAACGGGACAGACUCAAGAUCUGUUGGCUUAGUGCCUACGCAGGUUCGAAUCCUGCGCCCCGCA
rnacentral:tRNA from 1 species